CUGCUCAUUUCAACAGCACAUGUACGAUAAUUUGAACUAUAGAGAGAUUAGCACGGUCCUUACACAAGGAUAACAGGCAAUUUGCAAAGUGUUUCAUGACUUUU
rnacentral:snRNA from 1 species